UACGGAGGGUGCAAGCGUUAUCCGGAUUCACUGGGUUUAAAGGGUGCGUAGGUGGGCAGUUAAGUCAGUGGUGAAAUCUCCGAGCUUAACUCGGAAACUGCCAUUGAUACUAUCUGUCUUGAAUAUCGUGGAGGUAAGCGGAAUAUGUCAUGUAGCGGUGAAAUGCUUAGAUAUGACAUAGAACACCGAUAGCGAAGGCAGCUUGCUACACGAUUAUUGACACUGAGGCACGAAAGCGUGGGGAGCAAACAGG
rnacentral:rRNA from 1 species